AUUGAACGCUGGCGGCAGGCCUAACACAUGCAAGUCGAGCGGAUGAAGGGAGCUUUCUCCUGGAUUCAGCGACGGACGGGUGAGUAAUGCAUAGGAAUCUGCCUUGUCGUUGGGGAUAACGUCCGUAAACGGGAGCUAAUACCGCAUACGUCCUGAUGUAGAAAGUGGGGGAUCUUCGGACCUCACGCUAUCAGAUGAGCCUAGGUCGGAUUAGCUAGUUGGUGGGGUAAAGGCCUACCAAGGCGACGAUCCGUAACUGGUCUGAGAGGAUGAUCAGUCACACUGGAACUGAGACACGGUCCAGACUCCUACGGGAGGCAGCAGUGGGGAAUAUUGGGCAAUGGGCGAAAGCCUGAUCCAGCCAUGCCGCGUGUGUGAAGAAGGUCUUCGGAUUGUAAAGCACUUUAAGUUGGGAGGAAGAGCAGUAAGUUAAUCCCUUGCUGUUUUGACGUUACCAACAGAAUAAGCACCGGCUAACUUCGUG
rnacentral:rRNA from 1 species